GAGAGGCGGGAGGGGAACGGUCCUGAAAGGCCGCCUGCUGCCGGGCUGGAGGUGUGUGAGGGGAGCCGCUGAUGCGCCUCCAUCUUCGUAGGGCCGCUCUCGUGCAUCCCUGGCCUCUCGCCCCUCGCGGCUCGCUGAGCUCCCUGCCCGCGGGCACUUGGUGCCCACGUUGCCUCCUCUGAGGAUUUUUGGUGAUGCUUUCCUGCGCGUUUUGAGUUUCACCUCUUUUUCGCGUUGUUCCCGCACGAGGAGGUCGAAGCCCUUUGAGGUGAUGGCUGAGGAGGAAAGAAGGGCUGAGUGGGGCCUGGCAGCGCUGGGUGCUGCGGUGAGCCGGAGCAGCAGCACGAGUCCCGGCAGCAGGGCUGAUUUCAGGCAGCUCUCGGUGGUAUCGCCGUGCUCGGCUGCCCCAGGCUGUCAGUGUGAAGCAGAGCCGAGUGAAGUAAGUGAGGUUUCAAAUGGAGAAGCAGAUUGGAGGUGACUGUCACAACCUGCCCAGCCCGGCUGCUGUGCAGGCUCAACUCCAGCGUUGCCAUCUUCCCUUCAUGCUGUUUAUUCCAAAAGCUCGCUCACAGCACGCAGUUAUAGAAGUCAGAGUAAGACACAAGAAAAUUCUCCAUUCAUCACUGCCCAUCAGGU